AAAACUAUACUUUCAGGGAUCAUUUCUAUAGUUCAUUACUAGAGAAGUUUCUCUGUGUAGAGCAUGAGGACGAGACAUAGCAUCCCCUCCUGAGCGUGAAGCCGGCUCUAGGUACUGCUUCAGUGCAGCUGCCUCUUGCCAUUCUCUUUGCCAUUGCUCUUCUCACCUUCAGGAGUGGGAGAGGAGGAGAACUCAGUCUGAGUGGA